AACGGUCUAUACCUGCGGUACCUGCGGAGGGAUCAUUAAUGAGAAACUGCCCCUCGCGGGUAGAUCUCCCACCCUUUGUAAACUUACCUUUGUUGCUUUGGCAGGCCCGUCUCCGGACCGCCGGCUUCGGCUGGCCAGUGCCUGCCAGAGGAUUCUAAAACUCUGUCUGUCAGUGUUGUCUGAGUCUAUAUACAAUCGUUAAAACUUUCAGCAAUGGAUCUCUAGAUCGGAAGAGCACAC
rnacentral:misc_RNA from 1 species